CCAUCUUCCUCGUUGGAUCUAGAAAUUUCUCCUUGCUCUUUCCUCAAUUCACGUUCAUCUUCUCUCAUUCACUGUGCUGGACUCCACCUCUUUUCUUCCUUCUUUGUCAUUCGGUGUCGUAUGUGGUGAGUACUGAGUAGGAUCAUCUUCGUCUCUUCCUUCACUUCUCUGCGGUUGAAGCAUUCAAGAACAGGGGAGGAGUUGGGUAUUGGUCAGAUGAAUCGAUAGAGGGAAAAGAGUUUCUACCAUGUGGCGCGCUGCUGUGCGGGUUGCUGCCAUAGUCUCCUCUCUUUACCUCUGCUUCGCACAUCGCUGGUCUGUGUUCACCUUUUCUUCCUUGUUUAAGUGGCAGCAUCUUCUCUUAGCUUUCACCAUUGUUGAUUAGAGGCAGAAUCCAUCAUCAUUCAUCAUCACAGUCAAUUGUAAUCUUCAUUCUGUCUCCUUGGUACUAUAAUUGCUUUGCACGCUAAAGGCUUUACCUAAAUUAGUUGGUAUACGUGUAUGAUGGCAAGUUCCUCAUCCAAAUGAGUAUAUUGUUAUUUUCAUAUUGGAGGGCAAAUGGUGAAGAAUCAGGAUGGGAGUAUACGUUAUGAAGGUGGGAGGCCAAAAGGAAGAGCAAUUAAUGAAGGCACAACACUUGAAGAGUUGAAAAGAAUUAUGAGAUCUUGUAUUGGGUUGGAAACAAAUAUAUUGGAGAUGAAGUAUACCAUAAAACCUAAAAUAAACACAUUAGUUGACCUUAAAGAUGAUGAAGGAGUUGCUAAUUUGAUAGAGUUUAACAACGAUACUACCCAUGUUUAUAUUGUUGGCGAUGAUGUUAGUAAUAUAGAUAUGGUAAU